GGAAAGUGAAGUGUUUAGUAAAAACGGGCCAUUUCCUGAGUUCUGGCAUUGAGCUCCAUGCAAAGCCCUUUUCUCAGGUUUUCAAUGUUUGCUGCAUUUCAAAAACUUAUCAAUCAUAAAACUGUGUACCACCAAGGAGACUUUGCCCGCUGGGACAGGGAGACAGGAACAGGCGGUCACAGACUUCCCUUUGGAAGGGACAGGGGGUUAGGUUCCUUGUUAUAAGCUGAUGGAGAGUCUAGCCUGGUGUUGAGCAUGCAUUUUUGGAUGAUAUUGAUGGGGACAGACAGAUGUGAGUGGUGGGAACAUGAGGUUAAGGGACUAAUUCUAUAGAAGGGACGCACUGUGCGGACCCCCACUGUGCCGACCCUCACUGUGCCGACUCCCACUGUGCUGACCCACAUGUUUUCUUUUCCAAGAAACAAUCUACCUGCAGCCCUGCCUGGCUUAGGUGGACCGAUAUGUCACAUUCCUCAGCAAACCACCUGCUACCUGAAGAACAAACGGAGGCCUGAAAUAAUGACGAUAAGAGGCACUCAAGUUACCCUGAAGGGGGAGACUUCUGUGACCCUCUUAACAGACCAGAUCCCUGAACUCAGGGAGAUAAGGAAAAUCCCUCCUAACCACACAAUCUGUAAGAAUUCAUAGUCAAGAAUCCAAUCAGAACUGGUCAGCAUGGGCCAAGGGGACCUAGAGUUGUCAUGGAAGAGGGGACAUUAAACUCUCAUGUCAUCCUGCUGUCAGUCAAAAGUCAAGAGGGCAAGAUCUCCAGAAACUUCUCUGGGAUCCUCAUUGCUGUCCCUCUCCUCUCUGAGAGGACCCGCCCUCUCCCUGGAGCGUGUCCCCUUUCUCUUCAAUGAGCUCAUGCCUGUUACUCUGAGGGACACGUCUGAAACCUUUCUGACUUGAUCACAAGAACUGUGCCACUUCAGCUUCCUGGAAGACCCGGCCCCUGCAACAAUAUGAGCCAACUCGAAG
rnacentral:lncRNA from 1 species